ACACGGCCCAGACUCCUACGGGAGGCAGCAGUAGGGAAUCUUCCGCAAUGGACGAAAGUCUGACGGAGCAAGGCCGCGUGAGUGAAGAAGGUUUUCGGAUCGUAAAACUCUGUUGUUAGAGAAGAACAAGGAUGAGAGUAACUGCUCAUCCCCUGACGGUAUCUAACCAGAAAGCCACGGCUAACUACGUGCCAGCAGCCGCGGUAAUACGUAGGUGGCAAGCGUUGUCCGGAUUUAUUGGGCGUAAAGCGAGCGCAGGCGGUUCUUUAAGUCUGAUGUGAAAGCCCCCGGCUCAACCGGGGAAGGUCAUUGGAAACUGGAGAACUUGAGUGCAGAAGAGGAGAGUGGAAUUCCAUGUGUAGCGGUGAAAUGCGUAGAUAUAUGGAGGAACACCAGUGGCGAAGGCGACUCUCUGGUCUGUAACUGACGCUGAGGCUCGAAAGCGUGGGGAGCAAACAGGAUUAGAUACCCUGGUAGUCCACGCCGUAAACGAUGAGUGCUAAGU
rnacentral:rRNA from 1 species